rnacentral:rRNA from 1 species
GAUGAACGCUGGCGGCGUGCCUAAUACAUGCAAGUCGAGCGAAUGGAUUAAGAGCUUGCUCUUAUGAAGUUAGCGGCGGACGGGUGAGUGACACGUGGGUAACCUGCCCAUAAGACUGGGAUAACUCCGGGAAACCGGGGCUAAUACCGGAUAACAUUUUGAACCGCAUGGUUCGAAAUUGAAAGGCGGCUUCGGCUGUCACUUAUGGAUGGACCCGCGUCGCAUUAGCUAGUUGGUGAGGUAACGGCUCACCAAGGCAACGAUGCGCAGCCGACCUGAGAGGGUGAUCGGCCACACUGGGACUGAGACACGGCCCAGACUCCUACGGGAGGCAGCAGUAGGGAAUCUUCCGCAAUGGACGAAAGUCUGACGGAGCAACGCCGCGUGAGUGAUGAAGGCUUUCGGGUCGUAAAACUCUGUUGUUAGGGAAGAACAAGUGCUAGUUGAAUAAGCUGACACCUUGACGGUACCUAACCAGAAAGCCACGGCUAACUACGUGCCAACCGCCGCAGUAA